GACGAACGCUGGCGGCGUGCUUAACACAUGCAAGUCGAACGGAAAGGCCCUGCUUUUGUGGGGUUCUCGAUUGGCGAACGGGUGUGUAACACGUGAGUAACCUGCCCUUGUCUUUGGGAUAACUUCAGGGAACUGGGGCUAAUACCGGAGAGAAGCUCUUGCUGCAUGGUGGGGGUUGGAAAGUUUCGGCUGUUGGGGCUGGACUCGCUGCUUAUCAGCUUGUUGGUGGGGUAGUGGGUUACCAAGCCUUUGACGGGUAGCCGGCCUGAGAGGGUGACCGGCGACAUGGGGACUGAGAUAGGGCGCAGACUCCUACGGGAGGCAGUGGUGGGGAAUAUUGCACAAUGGGCGGAAGCCUGAUGCAGCAACGCCGCGUGCGGGAUGACGGCCUUCGGGUUGUAAACCGCUUUGGCCUGUGACGAGGCGUGAGUGACGGUAAUGGAUAAAGAAGCACCGGCUAACUACGUG
rnacentral:rRNA from 1 species